CCUACGGGGGGCAGCAGUGGGGAAUAUUGGACAAUGGGGGGAACCCUGAUCCAGCCAUGCCGCGUGUGUGAAGAAGGCCCUCGGGUUGUAAAGCACUUUCAGUGAGGAAGAACGCCUGGUGGUUAAUACCCAUCAGGAAAGACAUCACUCACAGAAGAAGCACCGGCUAACUCCGUGCCAGCAGCCGCGGUAAUACGGAGGGUGCGAGCGUUAAUCGGAAUUACUGGGCGUAAAGCGCGCGUAGGUGGCUUGAUAAGCCGGUUGUGAAAGCCCCGGGCUCAACCUGGGAACGGCAUCCGGAACUGUCAAGCUAGAGUGCAGGAGAGGAAGGUAGAAUUCCCGGUGUAGCGGUGAAAUGCGUAGAGAUCGGGAGGAAUACCAGUGGCGAAGGCGGCCUUCUGGACUGACACUGACACUGAGGUGCGAAAGCGUGGGUAGCAAACAGGAUUAGAUACCCUGUAGUC
rnacentral:rRNA from 1 species